rnacentral:lncRNA from 1 species
AUGUAACACACUGGUCUGGCACCCAUCAAAGGAAAAUAGGUGUAGCUGUUGCUGCAAGAGGAGGAGAAAUUAAUUCCUACCCAAUGGUCCCAACCCAGGAGGAAUCUUGAAGAAAGAAGACAGCAUCUGCACAUACAUUUGGAAGAAAUCUGCCUGAUUCCCUCGGCUGACAACCCUUAUUGAAAUGACACUGGGAGUUCUCCUGCAAACAACAUUGUCUGGAUGGAUUAUUUGCAUUCAUCAACAAGUGGUGGCUGAGGUGGGGUGCACAGCAGGAGUGACUUCGACCUUCUCAUUUAUAAAGGAAUUCAGAUAAAGAAAUGGUGAAGUAACCAUGCAAUGACAAAAUGAUCAUCAGCCUCUGUGUUCAAAACUAGCAAGAUGGAUAUAGCUAAAGUCUUUAGCUUUGUUACAGCAUUCAGAUGAAUCAUUUAUAUGUAUAUAUGUAAUCUUUGUUUUAUAUAUAUAUCGCAACAUGGUAAUCACAAUGAUGAGUUAAUGGCUGGACCAUAGAAUUUGCUACUUAGAAAGCUGGAAACAGCACAACCACACUACAGUGGGAGUUAGUAUAUAAUUAUUUAUGGAUCCUCCAUCUGUUGUAUUAGCUGCCUGAUCACUAUCUCUCAAUUAAUUUACCAGCCCUAAAUAUAUUGACAUACCUGUGCUGACAGGUAUUUGAGUUUAUAGUCAGCGGGAGCAAUACUAGGAUCUAUGCUAUGGAUCCUCUUUUGAUUGAAAUCCCGAGUAAUAUAUAUUCAAGGCAUCAAAAUAUAUUCAAAGUAUUCUAACACAAAGAUUUUAGUCUUUGUUCCACCCGUAGUUUAGAUGUCAGGAUCCGUUAUUGCUUCUCUUGCUGUUGCUGCUUCAUUAUUUACUAUGUAUCUCAUGUCAAUGUUAAUGCUUUUUUAUUUUAUUAUGCUUGUAUUUUAUCCUGAUAUAUCCAAAGUUAAAAUCUAGUAAGUGAAUAGAUUUUUGGUUCAGUGGUAAUAUUGUUGCAUAAAUGUUAUAGAUCCCAUCCUGUAGUAUUCUGCAUCUUUAGAAUGCAAAUUUCAUGAAAAAAGCACUGAAAAUUUGUUCUGCAGAGGCUUUUGCAAAAUAGCUGCAGAUACUCUUGUGUAUUUGUUUUAGAAGCAUUUAUGAGGAAGACAGAAAAAAAAUGUCAAUAAGACAUGAUUUAAGGUAAUAAUAAUGAUUUUAGGUAAUAAAAUCAUUGCAUGCCAUUUCUUAAAAUGAUUC